rnacentral:sRNA from 1 species
UAUAAUAAAGAGUAAUUAUUCUUGUUCGGUGUGUAAGAAGGAUUUAAUUUUCACCUUCGAUUUCUAAUUGAGCAACAAUAGUAAUAUAAUGUGGCUAUGCCACGUAGGAGGAAACAAACAUGCAAGAAGGUUCAGUAAAAUGGUUUAACGCAGAAAAAGGUUUCGGUUUCAUCGAAGUUGAAGGUGGAGACGAUGUAUUCGUACAUUUCUCAGCUAUCCAAGGUGAAGGAUUCAAAACUUUAGAAGAAGGUCAAAAAGUUUCUUUUGAUAUCGAAGAAGGACAACGCGGACCUCAAGCAACUAACGUUGUUAAGGCGUAACUUAUAAAAAAAGGACUCUAUUACAGAGUCCUUUUUUAU